UGUCUUCAACCUCCUGCUACUUCUUAGAA
rnacentral:piRNA from 1 species